rnacentral:lncRNA from 1 species
AGGGGCGGAGCCACCUUAGGUCCAGUGCAGGCAAAUGCCUGCACUGAAAGCCCUGAAAUUUUAAGAGUGCAGAGAGAGAUAUAUACAGAAUAUAGAGAGAGGAAGGUAAGAGGGAUAGGAGAAAUGAGAGAAAUUCCUCCACCAAAUUAAACAAACCAUUUGACGCCUGCACAAGCCCUGAAAUUUUAAGAGAUAUAGAGAGAGAGAUAUAUAGAAAUAUAUAGAGAGAGGAAGGUAAGAGGGAUGGGAGAAAUGAGGAGUCUGACAGUUUUGGUUAGUGGAAUUCAAAUUUGACAAGUGCAAGUGACAUUUGUGCAUGUGAAGGGAAG